AUUGAACGCUGGCGGAAUGCUUUACACAUGCAAGUCGAACGGCAGCACGAGGGCAACCCUGGUGGCGAGUGGCGAACGGGUGAGUAAUACAUCGGAACGUGCCCAGUCGUGGGGGAUAACUACGCGAAAGCGUAGCUAAUACCGCAUACGAUCUACGGAUGUAAGCGGGGGAUCGCAAGACCUCGCGCGAUUGGAGCGGCCGAUGGCUGAUUAGGUCGGUGGUAAGGUAAAGGCCCACCAAGCCUGCGAUCUGUAGCUGGUCUGAAAGGACGACCAGCGACACUGGGACUGAGACACGGCCCAGACUCCUACGGGAGGCAGCAGUGGGGAAUUUUGGACAAGGGGCGAAAGCCUGAUCCAGCCAUUCCGCGUGCAGGAUGAAGGCCCGCGGGUUGUAAACUGCUUUUGUACGGAACGAAACGCGCUGAGUUAAUACCUCGGCGUAAUGACGGUACCGUAAGAAUAAGCACCGGCUAACUACGUGCCAGCCGCCGCAGUAAGAC
rnacentral:rRNA from 1 species